rnacentral:rRNA from 1 species
UGGCUCAGGAUGAACGCUAGCUACAGGCUUAACACAUGCAAGUCGAGGGGCAGCAUGUUGGUUGCUUGCAACCAAUGAUGGCGACCGGCGCACGGGUGAGUAACGCGUAUCCAACCUUCCCCUUAGUAGAGGAUAGCCCGGCGAAAGUCGGAUUAAUACUCUAUGUUCUUCAAUGCGGACAUCUAAGUUGAAGCAAAGAUUUAUCGCUAAGGGAUGGGGAUGCGUCUGAUUAGGUUGCAGGCGGGGUAACGGCCCACCUGGCCUACGAUCAGUAGGGGUUCUGAGAGGAAGGUCCCCCACACUGGUACUGAGACACGGACCAGACUCCUACGGGAGGCAGCAGUGAGGAAUAUUGGUCAAUGGGCGCGAGCCUGAACCAGCCAAGUAGCGUGCAGGAACCGACUGCCCUAUGGGUUGUAAACUGCUUUUAUCAGGGAAUAAAGUGAGGCACGCGUGCCUUUUUGUAUGUACCUGAUGAAUAAGGACCGGCUAAUUCCGUGCCAGCCGCAGC